rnacentral:rRNA from 1 species
UAAUACUGGAUAGGCAAUUAUUCCUGUAAUGGUUUUUUGUUUAAAUGUUUUUUCGCCUAAGGAUGGGUCUGCGGCCGAUUAGGUAGUUGGUUAGGUAAUGGCUUACCAAGCCUUUGAUCGGUACGGGUUGUGAGAGCAAGAGCCCGGAGAUGGAACCUGAGACAAGGUUCCAGGCCCUACGGGGUGCAGCAGGCGCGAAACCUCCGCAAUGUGAGAAAUCGCGACGGGGGGAUCCCAAGUGCCAUUCUUAACGGGAUGGCUUUUCUUUAGUGUAAAAAGCUUUUGGAAUAAGAGCUGGGCAAGACCGGUGCCAGCCGCCGCGGUAACACCGGCAGCUCUAGUGGUAGCAAUUUUUAUUGGGCCUAAAGCGUCCGUAGCCGGUUUAAUAAGUCUCUGGUGAAAUCCUGUAGCUUAACUGUGGGAAUUGCUGGAGAUACUAUUAGACUUGAGACCGGGAGAGGUUAGAGGUACUCCCAGGGUAGAGGUGAAAUUCUGUAAUCCUGGGAGGACCGCCUGUUGCGAAGGCGUCUAACUGGAACGGUUCUGACGGUGAGGGACGAAAGUUAGGGGCGCGAACCGGAUUAGAUACCCGGGUAGUCCUAACUGUAAACGAUGCGAACUUGGUGUUG